rnacentral:lncRNA from 1 species
GGGACAGGCUAUUCUGAUCUGCUUUGACUCUGCUGUUCUUUACAGCCACAUGAGGACACAGCAAGAAGGUUGCUGCCUACAAGCCAGGAAAUGGGCCCUCACCAGGAAAUGAAUCUUCCACCAGCUUGGACCUUAAUCUUGGACUUCCCAGUCUCCAGAACUGUGAGAAAUCUAUUUCUAUUGUUUCAGCCUCCCUGUCUAUGGCAUUCGUUGUAGCAGCCGAGCAAACUAAGCCACCCACUUAAACCAAAAAUGUGCUUUCUCAUUUUUCUACCACUCACACUGAAUAUGCAGACACCCUUCCACCUGGCAGCUAGAUUCAUUUCUGUUGCCUGCCUCACAUGGGAGGCACCUGGGUUGGCAGUGCCUGGAUUAAGGGGAAGUUAAACUCUCUCAAUGGGCAUUCUCACUGCUGACUCCCUGCUGCAUGCCUCAUACGCUUCAGCUCUAGCAUUCUGCUCUUCACUCAGCAAUUAGAAGUCUCCUUCCAAGAGGAAUUGGUCUUACCCCGUGCCCAUCAAUCAGUCCGUUAUUUCAUGGGUAGUGCAUUUCCCUAAUUCUGAGAUAUUCCUUUAAAACUAACACCAGAGCUGGAGUUCCACAAAACAUGCAUAAUGAUGUUUGAAAAACAGAAUGUCAAAGUCUAGGGUAUCUGGCUGCUCUUAGUCACCCCAUAAAGUACAGCAAGGGCUUGAGCCCUUCAAAACAGUUUUAUUUAAAGAUCUCCCUCCCAA